UGAGAACCGUAGCGAAGCGGAGCUCAUGACCGUAGAGAAUAACUCAGCCGAAGCCAUAGUAUCCCGAUACUUCUAAUUAGGAGAAGGGC
rfam:Salinivirga cyanobacteriivorans strain L21-Spi-D4 chromosome, complete genome.